GGGAACUCAAAGGAGACUCCCGGUGAUAAACCGGAGGAAGGUGGGGAUGACGUCAAGUCAUCAUGCCCUUACGAGUAGGGCUACACACGUGCUACAAUGGCAUAUACAAAGAGAAGCGAACUCGCGAGCCCAACCCCCACCUCAUAAAGUAUGUCGUAGUCCGGAUAGGAGUAUGCAAGGGGACUCCAGAAGUCGGAAUCGCUAAUAAUCGUAGAUCAGAAUGCUACGGGAAUACGUUCCCGGGCCCCCCUCUCACCACCCGUCACCCAGGGAGUACCGAGCCACUUCCCGGCCUUUUUUCCCCAUC
rnacentral:rRNA from 1 species